CUUCUUUAAUUCCUUUGUUGGUGUCUUCUUUAUCCUUUCUCUCUGUCUCUCACUCUCUCACUCUCAGUGUCACCGUUGCAAUGACUGGCUUGGCACAAAUGUCCUAUAUGCUUAAAUUCAUCAUCCUAUUUCAAUUUGGUUUAGUGAUCAUUCAACACCUGACCUGGAAGAAUUCAGAAUUCAGCGGGGGUACAUUCUCAGCUGAGAGAAGACAGAAAUAAAACUAAAAGCUAAUUCUCUCUGGACUUGGAGAGGAAGGAGUAUCAGAGAAGCAGAGAAGAGAAAAAAGCUUAGAAAGCAGGAAGGAAGCUGAAAGGUAGUCUCUUGGGCCUUGGUGCCAUAACCAAGGGGACCAUGUGGGU
rnacentral:lncRNA from 1 species